CCAGACUCCUACGGGAGGCAGCAGUGGGGAAUAUUGCACAAUGGGGGAAACCCUGAUGCAGCGACGCCGCGUGAGUGAGGAAGUAUUUCGGUAUGUAAAGCUCUAUCAGCAGGGAAGAAAAUGACGGUACCUGACUAAGAAGCCCCGGCUAACUACGUGCCAGCAGCCGCGGUAAUACGUAGGGGGCAAGCGUUAUCCGGAUUUACUGGGUGUAAAGGGAGCGUAGGCGGCUGUGUAAGCCAGAAGUGAAAGCCCGGGGCUCAACUCCGGGACUGCUUUUGGAACUGCGCGGCUGGAGUGCAGGAGGGGCAGGCGGAAUUCCUGGUGUAGCGGUGAAAUGCGUAGAUAUCAGGAGGAACACCGGUGGCGAAGGCGGCCUGCUGGACUGCGACUGACGUUGAGGCCCGAAAGCGUGGGGAGCAAACAGGAUUAGAUACCCUGGUA
rnacentral:rRNA from 1 species